GCCUGGAUGGCUGAGUCAGUAGAACAUCAGACUUUUAAUCUGAGGGUCCAGGGUUCAAGUACCAGUUUGGGCA
rnacentral:tRNA from 1 species